GACGAACGCUGGCGGCGCGCUUAACACAUGCAAGUCGAGCGAUAACCAUGGCUUCGGCCAUGGGGAGAGCGGCGAACGGGUGAGUAACACGUGAGCGAUCUGCCCUCGACACCGGGAUAGCCCGGGGAAACCCGGCUUAAUACCGGAUGGCCUCUCGAGCCCACGGGCACGUUAGAAAAGAUGGCUUCGGCUUUCGGUCGAGGAGGAGCGUGCGGCGGAUUAGCUUGUUGGUGGGGUAACGGCUCACCAAGGCGACGAUCCGUAGCUGGUCUGAGAGGACGAUCAGCCACACUGGGACUGAGACACGGCCCAGACUCCUACGGGAGGCAGCAGUGGGGAAUCUUGCGCAAUGGGCGAAAGCCUGACGCAGCGACGCCGCGUGAGGGAAGAAGGCCUUCGGGUUGUAAACCUCUUUCAGGAGGGACGAAGCCACUCGGGUUAAUACCCCAGAGGGUGACGGUACCUCCAGAAGAAGCCCCGGCUAACUACGUGCCAGCAGCCGCCGUAAUAC
rnacentral:rRNA from 1 species